rnacentral:tRNA from 3 species
GGGGACAUAGUUUAGCGGUAAAAUAAGGCUCUCCAAAAGCCUAGUCGGGGGUUCAAUUCCCUCUGUCCCCG